rnacentral:rRNA from 1 species
UAAUCAAAUUAGACGAUGUAUCAAUGUGAAAUAUAUUAAUGCGAUUGAGUAAUUAGUAUGUCUUAGUGCAAACUUUGAUUGAAAAUUACUCUUAUUCGUAUGAUAUAAAGUAAUGUAUGGGUGAAGUCUUAAAAGAUUUAAUCGGUGUACAUAAUUUAAACGGAUAUCAACUCCAGAAGUUGAUAGUUUCGUUCAUUUUUCACUUUGAAAAAAUUAGAGUGUUCAAAGCCGAGCUAAAAUUGCUCGAAUGUUAUAUCAUUGUAUGAAAUACCAUGAUCUCGUUUAGACUUUUUUGUCUUCUUUUAUUGAUCUAAAA